rnacentral:lncRNA from 1 species
GCUGACGCCAUUUUAGGCCUUAGCCUGCCUGCACCCAGGCGCUCAUUAAAACAGCAGGUUGCUCCACACUGCCUCGUGUUGUCUGUUGGCACACUCUCAAGAGUUUGAACGGAUACAAGAAUCUUUCAUCUGGUGCCGAAACCCGGGAGGGGCUCCGGUCUUCGUCCCCCGUGGACCUACCCCUCCGCCCCAGAAAGCAGGCCACAGCAGCCGGACAAAGGAAGCUCCUCAGCCUCCAGUUGCUUCUCUGUGCAUGCACAUCAGUCACUGAUCUCACCUACUGACACUGCUGAGUAUGAAGAACUAAUUGGAGAAGGAAGCCGUUGUAUAGCAGAUGCAGAGCAGCAGCAAAAAUGGUAAUGAAAAUAGAAGAUAAAUUAGAAAAUUUGGAAAAACCCAAACAGAUCAGCCAUAUUGAAGGGAAAAAGAAAAACAAAACAAAGUGGGAGGGCAGAAAUGUAGAACGGUAUACACUCUUUUAACCCCAAGGAUGAAUGUAGCCAAGAACACAGUGGGGACUUAGGAGUCUCAGCACAGAGCAUUCUCUACUCCCUACUGCUCAGGCAAAGAACUCCUUCAUCAUGCAGAACCAAAACUGGUGUAGAGUCUUAAAUGACCUGGGUAUCUCUACGCAGAAGAAAGCGCUUUCCAUGUAAAAGGAUUAACUUGAACCUGGGUGCUCAAGGGACACCCUAGGCUGCUUAUCCCACUGAUUCUGAUCUGACUGUGUUAAGUAAUAAAUCAUGUGGUUACAUAUUCACAUUA